GCAGUGGUGGCUCAGUGGUAGAAUUCUUGCCUUCCAUGCAGGAAACCUGGGUUUGAUUCCCAGCCAGUGUA
rnacentral:tRNA from 1 species